rnacentral:rRNA from 1 species
GACGAACGCUGGCGGCGUGCCUAAUACAUGCAAGUAGAACGCUGAAGGAGGAGCUUGCUUCUCUGGAUGAGUUGCGAACGGGUGAGUAACGCGUAGGUAACCUGCCUGGUAGCGGGGGAUAACUAUUGGAAACGAUAGCUAAUACCGCAUAAUAGUAGAUGUUGCAUGACAUUUGCUUAAAAGGUGCAAUUGCAUCACUACCAGAUGGACCUGCGUUGUAUUAGCUAGUUGGUGGGGUAACGGCUCACCAAGGCGACGAUACAUAGCCGACCUGAGAGGGUGAUCGGCCACACUGGGACUGAGACACGGCCCAGACUCCUACGGGAGGCAGCAGUAGGGAAUCUUCGGCAAUGGACGGAAGUCUGACCGAGCAACGCCGCGUGAGUGAAGAAGGUUUUCGGAUCGUAAAGCUCUGUUGUAAGAGAAGAACGAGUGUGAGAGUGGAAAAGU